UACGUAGGGUGCGAGCGUUUGUCCGGAAUUAUUGGGCGUAAAGGGCUCGUAGGCGGUUUGUCGCGUCGGGAGUGAAAACCCAGGGCUUAACCCUGGGCUGGCUUUCGAUACGGGCAGACUAGAGGUAUGCAGGGGAGAACGGAAUUCCUGGUGUAGCGGUGAAAUGCGCAGGAUAUCAGGAGGAACACCGGUGGCGAAGGCGGAUCUCUGGGCCUUACCUGACGCUGAGGCGCGAAAGCUAGGGGAGCGAACAGGA
rnacentral:rRNA from 1 species